AUCGCUAACCCUCCGUAGCGAACGAAACGCAACUGUCACUGUCACACUAAUAUGGAAGAGUGAUAGAGAGACACAAAGCGAUUCGAUGGCGAAGGAAAAGUCCAUAUCUUUAAAGAACCGUAAAUAAUUAAUGACCAUGGUUUUUCGCACAUGAUAAUUUUAUUUACGGCCGUGACUAAACAACGAAACAAAUAUAAUUGUACACGCUUUAGUUAGUUGAUUAAAUCGCGCGGUAUAUAAAACCUGCGCGGGAGUGGAUCUCUCAUACGGCACCAUGAAGUGGCUUUUGGCGUUCUGUGUGGUCGUCGCACUAGUUUGCACGGCGCUGGGUCAAGAUUACCACAGCCGUUAUGCCGAGCUAGCGUCCCCAGUACCCAGAAACGUAGACGUACGUCAACUGGUCGACACCCUAAGAUCCGCUCAAAGGGAGUAGCUCCAUAUAGUACCACGGCGCCCGCCAUCUUGUUUCAAUCCGCCAUCUUGAAUUACCUGACCGUGGUUUGCUUGUAUUCGGAUAUGUCCCACUAGAUAUAAAUUUGGAAAUUAUUUUAGUAUGUAAGUAGAUAUAUUAUUGUUAUUGGCGAUGUUUUUGAUGUAUUUGUAUUUAUUGUAUUAAAGUUACGAGGUGUGCUUUAGUCGAACAAA